GUUACAUUUGGGAAAAUGCUAUAACUAUUCUAGAGACUCUAUGCACUUCCUAAAGUUUAAAUGUGUUGAGAGAUCAUCACUUGAUAUUGUAAUUAUGGAAAUGUUAUGUGUCACAGAAAUAACCUGAUUUCCUUGCCAGCUAAAUCGGAAGAGCACGCGU